rnacentral:rRNA from 1 species
GGACCAGACUCCUACGGGAGGCAGCAGUGGGGAAUAUUGCACAAUGGGGGAAACCCUGAUGCAGCAACGCCGCGUGAGUGAAGAAGUCAUUCGUGAUGUAAAGCUCUAUCAGCAGGGAAGAAAAUGACGGUACCUGAGUAAGAAGCCCCGGCUAACUACGUGCCAGCAGCCGCGGUAAUACGUAGGUGGCAAGCGUUGUCCGGAUUUACUGGGUGUAAAGGGCGUGUAGCCGGGCUGACAAGUCAGAUGUGAAAUCCGGGGGCUCAACCCCCGAACUGCAUUUGAAACUGUUGGUCUUGAGUAUCGGAGAGGCAGGCGGAAUUCCUAGUGUAGCGGUGAAAUGCGUAGAUAUCUGGAGGAACAUCAGUGGCGAAGGCGACUAUCUGGCACAUAACUGACGCUGAGGAGCGAAAGCGUGGGUAGCAAACAGGAUUAGAUACCCCAGUA